UGCAGUUUAUUGAUAAGCCUUCUAUGUGCAAGUGUCAAAAGCCUUACUGAAAUCUAGAUAAGCAAUGUCUACUGCACCAACCUGAUCAAUUAUUUUAGUUACCCAAUCAAAAAAAAAAAAAGAAAAAAAAAAAGAAAAAAGGAUUAGGUUGGCAUGAUCUCCCUGAAGUAAAUCCAUGUCUCUGAUUUUGAAAUCCAUGUGUUUUUAGAUGUUCAACAAACAAACCUAUCCUUUAACAUGGUUUCCAUUACUUUCCCCACUACUGAAGUAAGGCUUACUGGCCUGUAGUUGCCCGACUCCUCCCUACUACCUUUCUUUUGAAUGGGCACAACAUUCGCUAACUUCCAAUCUUCUGGGACUACUCCUGUUAAGGAUUGGUUAAAUAAAUCUGUUAAUGGUUUUGCUAGUACACCACUAAGCUCUUAAUAACUUUGGGUGUAUUCCAUCAGGUCCCAUUGACUUAUUUGUCUUUACUUUUGACAGUUGAAAUAGAACCUCUUCCUCUGUAAACUCACAUGUAAGACCAUUG